GGUAAUUUGGAAUUUUCGUGACCUAUGCUGUGACUUUUGAAGCUGCAGCGAGCUUAUUCCAGAAGACUGAAAAAGAGGUUGAAAAUGACAUUUCCAAGUGGCUGCGGAAGUGCACAGACCGAUCAAAAAAGCAAGAACUUAGAAAUUAACAUUUAUCAUUUACUACAUAUAUAUGUCAUACUCAUAAGAAUGUUAAAAAUAAAUUUACACUUUUAUUG